rnacentral:tRNA from 1 species
GCCGACGUGGUGAAACUGGCAGACACGCUACCUUGAGGUGGUAGUGGGGAAACCCUUGGGAGUUCGAGUCUCCCCGUCGGCA